rnacentral:lncRNA from 1 species
AGCUGGAUGGUGGCAUAGAGAGGAGCGUGGCGCCAGUGAGGCCUGCGUCGCAUGAAGGCAGGGUUGGGGAGGCUAGAGGCUUGGAGGUGCAAGAGAGACCUAGGGUGGGUGAUGUGCCAGAGAGACCUAGGGUUGGUGAUGUGCUGCCAGAGAGACCUAAGUUGAAGCUGCUUCCUCGCUCCAAGCCAAUCGAGGCUUCAGAACCAUCUCCUGUCUAUGUUGAAGAGAAGCAGGUUAUUACUCUUGCUCCCAUGUG